rnacentral:lncRNA from 1 species
CAAUAUCAUAAAGAACUGAAUUAAGGAUACUGGAUUUGGUGAUAAGGACCUUUGAUGAAGAAAUUUCGGCAGUGGUGGGAACAAAAGUUGGAUUAUCCUAUUAAGGGCUGAGAUUUAUAUAGUGCCCACUGUCUGCCAGGUACUGUGCUAAGUAUGAUAUAUCAUCUCAAGAGUUCUAUUAUUAUUCCCAUUUUACAGAUGGGGAGACUGCGGCAGUCAGUGAUGAAGUGAGUUGCCCAAAGUCAUAUAGCAAGGUCACAUAUGAACUCAGAUCUUCCUUACUUUAGGACACAUACCUGAGCCACCUAGUUACCCGUGAAGGAGGAGUCCAAAUUGGACAACCUAGAUCUCAGUGAAAAGGAGGAUGAGUUAUCUACUUUAAGGGGAGGUCACACAGGCAGGGUUGACUGCUUGAGGGACAAGGAAGAAGUUAGGAAUGGUGAUGGCACAGAAUGAUAUAAAAAAAUCAAUAAAUGCUAGCUUGUGAGCCUGGGCAAGUCAUUUGCAAAAAAAAAAAAAAUCAAUAAAUAUUGAAUAGAAGGAUUGCUGAGGAACAGUGUAGACCUAAAUCUAGAGUGGGUAUCUUCAACACAGUUUUCAGACUCUGUCCAGCAACUUUUGGCAGCCAAAGAAUAGAAGCAGAGAAAUCUCUGGUGGGAUUUCCCACCAGAGUGGGAGGCACCUUGGGUUGAAGAUGAGUAGGGCAACUGUGAUGGGAGGUCAAGAAGGGGCCAGAUUCCGGUAGCUGUUGACUGGAUGGAGUUAAGCCUGGAAGAGAGGUAAGUGGAGUACCAGGAAGAAUCUGAAAUAAUGGGAAAAGAUCUCAGAAACAGCCUUUAGAAGAUCCAAGGUCUUGGUGUUCUUGUUCUCUAUCCAUUGAUUUUGAAGGGUAAUUGAUAGGAGAUAGGUGAAGUCAUCAAGUAACUGGGGUCAGUGAGCAAAUGCCCAAAUCUGGGAUCUUGGAGAUGGGACAGUUCUGAGAGCCAUCCACUGUAGGGCGCAGUUGAAAUGAAUGGACAGAGACAUAGUUGGAUUGUUGCCAGGCAAUCCUCUACUUGCUUUAACUCACUAGCCCACUUUACAAAGCAGCUCUUUUCAUCCCUCCUGAAAUCUCCAUUGGUUCCCCCUCCUCCUUGUCUCUCAGCUAAGAACUUUGCCUCUCAUUUUACAGGGGAAAAAAGGGAGGCCAUUCCUCCACGAGGCGCCUCUUCUUCCCUUUUCCUCAUCUCAUCACUCAGACCCUUUCUGCCACUACCUCCUCCUUCCCCUGUCUCACAUGAGGUCAUCUUAUUCCUUACCAGAACUAACCCUUCUCCCAGCUCAAAUGAUUUCUUCCUGUGUCUAUAGAUUUCUCCAUGUCAUCCUCAUCCAGUCAGUUCUCUUCUAUCCCUCCGUCUACUAGCUCCCUCCUUCCCUACUACCAGGGCCAUUUCCAGUCAUCCUGAUCUGAAUCUUGCCACUGGACCCAGAUGGCUCUGGAGGGGAAAAUGAAGCCGGUGACCUUGGCCAGCCCUCCCUCUCUUCAAUCGCUUGCGUGUCUUAGCAUCGCCUCCCCGAUGUUCUGGUCCGCUUCAAGAAUGAAGGACAAAGAACAACCCACCCACAAACAUGCCCAUGUCUCUCUUCCUCAUUCUCAGAUAACCCCACCUCGAUCCUUCCAUCCCCAUCAUCCUCCUAUAUCUCUUUCUGACCUUUGUGGCUAAGCUCCUCAAAAAGCUCUCUACAACAGGUGCCUCUAUUUUUUCCUCAACCCUUUACAAUCCAGCUUCCAACCUUAUGGCUCCACUGAAUUUCUGUCUCCAAAGCCACUAAUGAUUUCUUAGUGGCCAAAUCCAAUGGCCUUUUCUCAAUCCUCAUUCACUUCAACCUCUCUUUGGCCUCAUUCUUCCUUCCCUG